AUACGGAAGGUCCGGGCGUUAUCCGGAUUUAUUGGGUUUAAAGGGAGCGCAGGCGGAGAUGCAAGCGUGACGUCAAAUUUCGGGGCUCAACCCCGUCUCGCGUCGCGAACUGCGUCCCUUGGUUGCGGGAAGGGGAGGCGGAACUCGUGGUGUAGCGGUGAAAUGCAUAGAUAUCACGAAGAACUCCGAUCGCGAAGGCAGCCCUCCGGCCCGUCAACGACGCUCAUGCUCGAAGGUGCGGGUAUCAAACAGGAUUAGAUUCCCUGGUAGUCCGUACAGUAAACGAUGGACACCCGCGGUUUGGCCUGUAUGGCUGAGCCGCCAAGCGAAAGCGUUAAGUGUCCCACCUGGGGAGUACGCCGGCAACGGUGAAACUCAAAGGAAUUGACGGGG
rnacentral:rRNA from 1 species